CCCGGUGGUUAUACCCUGGGGGAAACACCUCUUCCCAUUCCGAACAGAGAAGUUAAGCCCCAGAAGGCCGAUGGUACUGUGCUGGUAACGGCAUGGGAGAGUAGGUAACUGCCGGGU
rnacentral:rRNA from 1 species